rnacentral:lncRNA from 1 species
GGCCGUGGGCCCCCCGGCUCCCACCCCUUAACCCCUUCCCGGCUUCCCUUUCCCAGACGGCCAUCCCCCAGCUGGCCUGGCCCACAAGAUUCCCAGAUUUCACAACCCGGGCUGGCGCUGACUCACGUACAGGAGAGAUGAAACACUGGAGCAAAGGGGACCGGGCGUGCUGCCCACGAGCAUGAGCGCCGUGAGGAGGCCCGUGAGUAGGGACGUGUGGAGCCACAGGGUACCCACAGAGUGGAAUUCGGCCGAAGGGACCCAAUUGUCAUCUUCUAAGCUUGUUCCCAGGCCAGGGACCGCCAGGGCUCUGACUGACACCCUACUCCUGCCCUCAGAAGUUCCAGAAUGUUCCUGGGACUUGGGAGCCUCCAGCUCUGGCAGCUGUCCCGGAACACUGGAAUGUUGGGACUCAAAGCUCCUUCCUGCCCGCCUUCCGGGAGGCACUUGAGCUCUGAGGUACCAGGGCCCGCUGCAGCUCUUGGUUCAAGGAUGAUGGAGUGACUAAGUCUGUCCGGGUCUCUCAUGCUGGCAGUCUUUGGAGGAUAUGCAGUUUCUCCUUGAGCUCCAGAGUGACCAAGUACAAGGCCAACACAAAGACAAAGCCCCACCCCCACUCUAGAAAUG